rnacentral:RNase_P_RNA from 1 species
GGGUCCGAGGGGGCCAUCGCUGCCCGGUUGGGUCAUCGCGCCGAACCGGGGGGAGGAAAGUCCGGACCGCGACAGGCCAGGGCGCUGGGUAACUCCCAGGGGCGUGGGGCGUAAGCCCCUCGCUACGGAAAGCGCAACAGAAAACAGACCGCCGGGUCGGCUUGCCGGCUGUUGGAACGAGGCGGGAGCCACGUUCCAGCACCUUGCUCCUCCCCUCCCUCGAUGGGAGGGGUCGGGGGAGGGCGCCGGCAAGCCGACUCGGUAAGGGUGAAAUGGCGGGGUAAGAGCCCACCAGCGGGGGGGAGACCCUCCGGCUUUGCAAGCCCCGCCCGCGGCAAGACCAAAUAGGGGACGAGGGUUGGCCUGUCCCGUUCGAAGUCCCGGGUUGGUCGCUCGAGCCCGAUGGAAACGUCGGGCCUAGAUGAAUGAUGGUCGCCCCUCCCCUCAACGGGAGGGGUCACAGAAUCCGGCUUACACCUCGGACCCGCUU